AGAAUUAUAGCUUAAUGGUAAAGCCGCUCACUCAUAAUGAGCUAAUCAGAGUUCAAUUCUCUGUAAUUCUA
rnacentral:tRNA from 2 species